rnacentral:rRNA from 1 species
GACGAACGCUGGCGGCGUGCUUAACACAUGCAAGUCGAACGGAAAGGCCCUGCUUUUGUAGGGUGCUCGAGUGGCGAACGGGUGAGUAACACGUGAGUAACCUACCCUUGACUUUGGGAUAACUUCAGGAAACUGGGGCUAAUACCGGAUAGGAGCUCCUGCUGCAUGGUGGGGGUUGGAAAGUUUCGGCGGUUGGGGAUGGACUCGCGGCUUAUCAGCUUGUUGGUGGGGUAGUGGCUUACCAAGGCUUUGACGGGUAGCCGGCCUGAGAGGGUGACCGGCCACAUUGGGACUGAGAUACGGCCCAGACUCCUACGGGAGGCAGCAGUGGGGAAUAUUGCACAAUGGGCGGAAGCCUGAUGCAGCAACGCCGCGUGCGGGAUGACGGCCUUCGGGUUGUAAACCGCUUUCGCCUGUGACGAAGCGUGAGUGACGGUAAUGGGUAAAGAAGCACCGGCUAACUACGUG